GGAGAUCGAGAGAUGAUCCAACUUUUAAAGCUGGGCAAAAACACUAUUGCUCAAAGAUUCACAUGAGAAAGCUGUUCGGAGAUGAUUCGAAACGUUUUGACAAAUUUAGUUUGUCAGUGGCUAUACCUCUGAUGGGGAAAUACUCUUGGAUUACUCAAAAAAUAUAAUUACAGAGGAAACAAUGAAACUUUUGUUUGAGCUGGCUGAAAGUAGAAAUGUUCUGGCGGCUCGGGAAAGGUUAUUUUCUUGUGAAAAGAUAAAUUUUACUGAGGUAACGAUAUAUAACCAUACCAUAUAGCUACAUCGUGUUUCAAAAACGUAAACCCUUUAUCAUCCUGUAUCAAGCCUCUUUAUAAAUACCUAUAAUUUUAUGCAC